rnacentral:other from 1 species
GUUAACCUGAAAUGUUGGAACCUGUUAUUUUUGAACCUACAGUUACUUUAAACGGGAUUCCUAUAUCUAUCGGUGGAUGUCAAGCCUCCUUCGAGUGGACGGCAGAAGCCGGUGUGCGGUCACGCACCUGGCGAAUGAGCUAGGAGUCAAAAGACAGGACCUCAUUUUGGGCCCAUU